rnacentral:misc_RNA from 1 species
CGCAUCUUGCGCUCCUUGGUAUUCCAUGGAGCAUGCCUGUUUGAGUGUCACGUAAACCCUCACCCUUGCGACGUUAAAAUCGCCUGUGGUGGAUUUGGACUGUGCCGUAAUUGGCUCGUCCUGAAAUGCAUUAGCUUGCGCUUGUUAGAGUGCUCGGCAUGGUGUGAUAAUUAUCUGCGCCAUUGCCUUAGGCCUCUUCUUUAUGUGCUGCUUCCAAUCGUCCCUUGAGGACACUACACUUAUGCUUUGGCCUCAAAUCAGGUAGGACUACCCGCUGAACUUAA